AACGCGAAGAACCUUACCAGGUCUUGACAUCCCUUGCAUAGCCUAGAGAUAGGUGAAGCCCUUCGGGGCAAGGAGACAGGUGGUGCAUGGUUGUCGUCAGCUCGUGUCGUGAGAUGUUGGGUUAAGUCCCGCAACGAGCGCAACCCUUACGAUUAGUUGCUACGCAAGAGCACUCUAAUGGGACUGCCGUUGACAAAACGGAGGAAGGUGGGGAUGACGUCAAAUCAUCAUGCCCUUUAUGACCUGGGCUACACACGUAAUACAAUGGCGCUUAACAGAGGGAAGCGAAACCGCGAGGUGGAGCAAAACCCCAAAAAGCGUCUCAGUUCGGAUCGCAGGCUGCAACCCGCCUGCGUGAAGUCGGAAUUGCUAGUAAUCGCGGAUCAGCAUGCCGCGGUGAAUACGUUCCCGGGUCUUGUACACACCGAAACCGCCC
rnacentral:rRNA from 1 species